AGCACGAGCACGUUACCGUAGGUCUUACUGCGGGUGGAGUGACAGUCGGGGGCCUGAGUCUUCUGGGGUGAGGGAAUGUGCCCCAACCCCGCCACAGGGUCUCAGGGGCCGCCUGAGCUCAUGGACAUGGAACCCAUGGCUAUGGAAGACGCCCUACGACUGUGCAUCUGCACCCACAGGAAAUACACAACACCCGGCGAUUCAAUUUCUUGUUUGCAUUUUUCUGUGCCAUCCACAUUUGCUACGGAAGAGAAAGGAACAGAGAUCAAGUUCUCCAGAAGCCACACUGGCUCCAGGGCACUCCAGCCCCUCUUUGCAACGGCGUACCACAGCUUCACCCACAUUAUCCCAAAGCCCAGAUGGGUCAGAGGCCCACAGAACCCUCCUAAGGCGAGCAACACCUCACUCUUUUGAGUCACAGGCUGUUCUCCUGUGUUACUCCCUCGGGGGUUCUGGCUUUCUCUAGAAAUCACAGUGACCUUUCAGGGCACUCUCCUCUCUCACGGACAGCUGAGGGU